GGGCGCGUAGCGCAGGGGUAGCGCGUUCGCUUCGCACUGUGAGUUGUAUACGAAAGGCCGUUGGUUCAAUUCCUACCGUGUCCA